rnacentral:rRNA from 1 species
UACAGAGGUCUCAAGCGUUGUUCGGAUUCAUUGGGCGUAAAGGGUGCGUAGGCGGCGCGGUAAGUCGGGUGUGAAAUCUCGGAGCUUAACUCCGAAACUGCAUUCGAUACUGCCGUGCUUGAGGACUGGAGAGGAGACUGGAAUUUACGGUGUAGCGGUGAAAUGCGUAGAUAUCGUAAGGAAGACCAGUGGGCGAAGGCGGGUCUCUGGGCCACUACUGACGCUGAGAAGCGAAAGCAUGGGGGAGCGAACAGG